GAUGAACGCUGGCGGCGUGCCUAACACAUGCAAGUCGAACGGACAGGCCCUGCGCUUGCGGGUUGCUCGAGUGCCGAACAGGUGUGUAUAACGCGUGUAAACCCCCCUUGAAUUUGUGAUAACUCCUGGAGACUGGGGCUAUUAUCGGAUAGGAGCUCUUGCUGCGCGGGGGGGGAUGGAGAGUUUCGGCGUUUGGGGCUGGACUCGAGGCUUAUCAGCUUGUUGGUGUGGUUGUGGCAUACCAAGCCUGUGACGGGUAGGCGGCCUGGGAGGGUGACCGGGCACAUGGGGACUGAGGUACGGCGCAGACUCCUACGGGAGGCAACGGUGGAGAAUAUUGCAGAAUGGGCGGAAGCCAGAUACAGCAACGCCGCGUGCGUGAAGACCGGCUUCGAGGUGUAAACCGCUUUCGCCGUAAACGAAGCCUGAGUGACGGUAACUGGUAAGGAAGCACCGGCUAACUACGUG
rnacentral:rRNA from 1 species